AUUGAACGCUGGCGGCAGGCCUAACACAUGCAAGUCGAACGAGUGGCGGACGGGUGAGUAAUGUCUGGGAAACUGCCUGAUGGAGGGGGAUAACUACUGGAAACGGUAGCUAAUACCGCAUACCAUCAGAUGUGCCCAGAUGGGAUUAGCUUGGUGGUGGGGUAACGGCUCACCAAGGCGACGAUCCCUAGCUGGUCUGAGAGGAUGACCAGCCACACUGGGACUGAGACACGGUCCAGACGCCUACGGGAGGCAGCAGUGGGGAAUAUUGCGCAAUGGGCGCAAGCCUGAUGCAGCCAUGCCGCGUGUAUGAAGAAGGCCUUCGGGUUGUAAAGUACUUUCAGCGGAGAAGCGUUACCCGCAGAGGAAGCACCGGCUAACUCCGUGCCAGCCGCCGCGGUAAUUC
rnacentral:rRNA from 1 species